rnacentral:rRNA from 1 species
GAUGAACGCUGGCGGCGUGCCUAACACAUGCAAGUCGAACGAAGCACCUAACUUUGAUUCCUUCGGGUUGAAGAGUUUUGUGACUGAGUGGCGGACGGGUGAGUAACGCGUGGGUAACCUGCCUCAUACAGGGGGGAUAACAGUUAGAAAUGACUGCUAAUACCGCAUAAGCGCACAGCAUCGCAUGGUGCAGUGUGAAAAACUCCGGUGGUAUGAGAUGGACCCGCGUCUGAUUAGCUAGUUGGCGAGGUAACGGCUCACCAAGGCGACGAUCAGUAGCCGGCCUGAGAGGGUGAACGGCCACAUUGGGACUGAGACACGGCCCAAAAUCCUACGGGAGGCAGCAGUGGGAAUAUUGCACAAUGGGGGAAACCCUAAUGCAGCGACGCCGCGUGAGCGAAGAAGAUUCGGUAUGUAAAGCUCUAUCAGCAGGGAAGAAAAUGACGGUACCUGACUAAGAAGCCCCGGCUAACUACGUGCCAGCAG